UAUUUCUAUUAGGAACUUGCUGAGAGUUGUCUAACUAGUGCCCCUGAUACUGAUGAAAAUGAAGAAGAGUAUUCUGAUGAUGAUGAUGAUGAUGAUGAAGAAGAUGAAGAUUAUAAAUUAUAUGCUAAUCUAUCCGCUGGACAAACUGACAGUGAAAGAGCAAAACUUGAUAAAAUCCUGAGCAAGACAUUAGCAUCAUCUAUUGAAGACAGCAAACCAACGUUUCAAAAAUUAUUCAAGCUCCUUUCAGAGAUAGCAUAUCGUUGGGAGAUACUUGGUGGUUUUCUCGGUGUCUCGUCCAGCGUAUUGGGUGAAUUAGCUGAACAGCCAGGAAGGGAUCCUAAGCCAAAACUUAACAGGGUACUGCAAUGCUGGCUGAACAAGGAAACUUCUUUUCCAACAUGGAGAGAAGUGAUUGAUGUCCUCGACAAUCACAUGGGAAAUGGGGAUAUAGCGCAUAAUGUUAGAUGUUCACUUGGUAUAAAAAAGACGUAGAAAUUGUGUCUUUGUUAAACAAAAAUUCCUUUUUUAAAUGUAGAUCUAACUAUGGUUUUUAUAACUAAUCAAACCAUUUGAUUAAUUGUGCUACUAUUUUUUAACACUACAAGCAUAACUUCAGUUUUAAAUUAAUAGUUAAUUUUAAACCAUUGCUAUAGUUAAUUUUUUCUUUUGUAUCAAUUGAUUGUGGUCUGCUUAGGUAUUAUUAAAUGCAAUUAAAAUUUAAUGUUAACAGUUUUUGUUAACUUUUAGAAAAAGGUAUCCCUCAUUCCCUCCAGACUUGUUCAACAGCUUUAGCAUUCAUAUCCUUUUUUGCCCAUAUAUAUAUACUUCUUUGAGUUCUUUCUAUACAUUACCUGAAAAACUCAGACAAUUAAUGGCAAUAAUAUAUCAUAUAAUAGACCUUCACUGGUUACAACUGUAAAGAUGAAGGUGGCAAUCUCAAGCAAGCAAAUAAAGGCUAUAAUCUCAAAGAACGACAGUGACAUGUUUGUUGAGAAUAUUUAUGAUGAUGCUUCACUUCCUAAUCCUGAAGGUUCAAUUCACAGUUUAUAGUUCAAGAAUAGUGAUAGUAGAGAAGUCUGUGAAAAUGAGAAUCAAUCCAAAAGUUCGUGUGGUCAACUCAAAAAUGAAGUACUUGAAGUUUCUAAAGAAACUCAUCUGUAAUUGUAAUAAUUGUAUACUGAGAGAGUAAUUGAUAUUUUAAUCUUUUGUUGAUUUGUGCAUUUACCCACAUGUUCAUUGUGGAUAUCAUGGUUUUUUUUAAUAAAAAUUG